UAGUGUUUCGGGUAGAAUUUCCGCUUCGGUCUGAUGUUGUUCCGGCUGGCUAGGGGGCUGCGUUGACGAAAAUGUGGCCGUGCUGGUGACAGAGUGUUUCCUUCCUUGAAUUGGAUCUGCAUUUUGACCAUGGGAGGCAAGUAUCAAAUUGAUUAUACCUAAGGCUGUAUUGUUCCUUUGUGCCACGCAAACCAAAAUGCAAGCAGUUGUUUAGCCACAUGGUGUGGACAAGAGCUUUUGGACUGUUAGGACCUAGGACACCCUUCUGCCACAUUAUAUCUAUUUCAUGGUCGCUUCCGGUCCAGGCUACUGAUGAUGGCCCGGAUACUUGUCGGCUCAAACUCUGUGCCAUCUUCGCGUUGCAGGGAUAGAAUGAACGUUGCAAUAUGCUCGUCAAGGAAAUCGACAUCCAACUGAUGCAUUUCUCUGGUCUCACCCUUUGUCAGUAGAAACCUCUGGAACUUUUUUGUGUCAUUUAAUGUUUUUUUUGCUGUGUUUUUGUUUUCUUCUUUUGUGAUGUACUGUCGGACUUCAGAAAGCUCUAUGUUUUUAAAUUCAUUUGGAAUUGACUGGUUGAGAUGUUUAGCUUCAUUUUGAAUUGUAACAUUUGUGUUAUUUUGAUCAUCACAAUUUGACUCAGGGGCAUUAUUCUCAGUUAAAUCCUCAUCAAAUUGAAGUGCAUUUAUUCCAUAUUUUUGCUCAAAUUCUUCCAAACUUAAUUCCACAGCAUUUGAAAACAAACCAUCCCAUACUACAUCAAAAUCACCUGUUUCUUGGUUGAACAUUGUUGUCAAAAUUUAUUUCAUUUGAUGAAAUAUGUUUUGCUGCAGUUUUAUUUUAAUUCUUGAUUGUGUAUUAUUUAUUUUUUUCAUUAUUUCAACCACAAUUGACAU